ACAUCCAGAGAAUUUAGCAGAGAUGCUUUAGUGCCUUCGGGAACUCUGAGACAGGUGCUGCAUGGCUGUCGUCAGCUCGUGUUGUGAAAGUGUUGGGUUAAGUCCCGCAACGAGCGCAACCCUUUAUCCUUUGUUGCCAGCACGUAAUGGUGGGAACUCAAAGGAGACUGCCGGUGAUAAACCGGAGGAAGGUGGGGAUGACGUCAAGUCAUCAUGGCCCUUACGAGUAGGGCUACACACGUGCUACAAUGGCGCAUACAAAGAGAAGCGACCUCGCGAGAGCAAGCGGACCUCAUAAAGUGCGUCGUAGUCCGGAUUGGAGUCUGCAACUCGACUCCAUGAAGUCGGAAUCGCUAGUAAUCGUAAAUCAGAAUGUUACGGUGAAUACGUUCCCGGGCCUUGUACACACCGCCCGUCACACCAUGGGAGUGGGUUGCAAAAGAAGUAGAUAGCUUAACCUUCGGGAGGGCGUUUACCACUUUGUGAUUCAUGACUGGGGUGAAGUCGUAACAAGGUAGGCGUAGUGCU
rnacentral:rRNA from 1 species